AAUGAGGUUUAAUAACCUUUUUCCUUCCUUCUUGUCAGGGUCAGCCUGGGAAAGCUAGAGUAUGAUGACUCUUCCUACCUGAAAACAUGUCCCUGCUGGGAAAGCCUCUCUGCAAAUCCAGAAGAGCCUGAUUGUGUUACUGAUGCAGUGGCCUGUGUUUAGGAGCAGUGUGGAGAUGUUGCAUCCAAAGAAGUGCAUCAGGAGACACUGCCAUGGAUGUGCAGACAGUAACCACAACUGCUAUGAUGCAUCUCAUGGGUUUUCAGGAGCAGAGGCAUCUUGGUGAAUCAGCCUAACAUCCUACUAAAGAAAAUGCUAAAGCAGGUAUUUCACUUUGAGCACAUGCAUAUCCUGCACCAAUAUUUGAAGGACAAGACCUUUUAGAUCUGAGAAUAUUCUGGAAAACUCCA